rnacentral:rRNA from 71 species
UUGACCUCAAAUCGGGUGAGACUACCCGCUGAACUUAAGCAUAUCAAUAA